GAACGCACAUUGCGCCCUCUGGUAUUCCGGAGGGCAUGCCUGUUCGAGCGUCAUAAUGACCAAAUCACCCUCGUGGUGGACUUGGAGCUGGCCUGUACAGGCCUCUCUUAAAACUAGUGGCGGUGCUCUUAAAGCUCUACGCGUAGUAAUUUUUCUCGCUACAGAGUCUUGAUUGUACUUGCCAACAACCCCAAUUAUUUUAAGGUUGACCUCGGAUCAGGUAGGGAUACCCGCUGAACUUAAG
rnacentral:misc_RNA from 1 species